rnacentral:rRNA from 1 species
CGGGGUGAGUAAUGCUUGGGAAUCUAGCUUAUGGAGGGGGGUAACUACGGGAAACUGUAGCUAAUACCGCGUAGAAUCGGGAGAUGAAAGUGUGGGACCUUCGGGCCACAUGCCAUAGGAUGAGCCCAAGUGGGAUUAGGUAGUUGGUGAGGUAAAGGCUCACCAAGCCGACGAUCUCUAGCUGGUCUGAGAGGAUGACCAGCCACACUGGGACUGAGACACGGCCCAG